rnacentral:rRNA from 1 species
GACGAACGCUGGCGGCGUGCUUAACACAUGCAAGUCGAACGCUGAAGCUUGGUGCUUGCACUGGGUGGAUGAGUGGCGAACGGGUGAGUAAUACGUGAGUAACCUGCCCUUGACUCUGGGAUAAGCCUGGGAAACUGGGUCUAAUACUGGAUACGACAUGCCACUGCAUGGUGGUGUGUGGAAAGGGUUUUACUGGUUUUGGAUGGGCUCACGGCCUAUCAGCUUGUUGGUGGGGUAAUGGCCUACCAAGGCGACGACGGGUAGCCGGCCUGAGAGAGUGAACGGCCACACUGGGACUGAGAGACGGCCCAGACUCCUACGGGAGGCAGCAGUGGGGAAUAUUGCACAAUGGGCGGAAGCCUGAUGCAGCGACGCCGCGUGAGGGAUGACGGCCUUCGGGUUGUAAACCGCUUUCAGCACGGAAGAAGCGAGAGUGACGGUACGUGCAGAAGAAGCGCCGGCUAACUACGUG